AUAGUUUAUUUGCAUUUGAUUACAUUUACAUUUAACAGUAAUCUUGUAGUUAACAAGUUUAGGCAAUUGUUACUAUCCACAGUUCUGUCGAAGAAAACCAGUCAUACAACACCUUUGCUGGACGGUGCACCCUACACUGACGCCUAGCUGGAUCAGUUGAAAUGUGAUAGACAAAUGAGGAUUUGCAUCUACCCAAUACACAAUCUGCAAGAAUCCUUAUCUGACUAGAUCUUAUCAAGAAGGUCUGGUUCAGAGGGUUUAGUUACACAUCAUCUCACAGAAUUGCAGCAGAUGUUCUGGGUCGUCCUCCAGAAAAUCAUGUAACAGUCUUGGACGAUAUAGCUUCAAUUUCAAUUUACGCAUUAUGGUACACAAUAGUCACCAGAACUGCAGCUUAAUAAAAAGACAGUGUGUUUACAUUACUGCCUGGUGACACCUCUAGUGGAAGGUCACUCAGAUGUUCAGCAUCUCAACACUCAACCCGUCUGGAGUCACAGAACAUUCCCCAUAGAGAAGCAUUGAUUCAAUGUAUCUCUAGGAGGAGAUGUAGAUUGGCAUAGCACAGUGUUUUGCCAGGCAUGCACAAUAGCCUCCCAAUGCUUUUCUGUGGGAAAGCACUGGAUUGGCUGAGAUCAAGUUUGAUAAUCUCAACCCAAGGGGGUACAUAUCAAACUUGAC